AAGCGUCGUAAGUUGAAUUUCGAAUGUGGCUGGGCGGUCCGCCUCACGGUGUGUACUGUCUGGCUGUGUUCUCUUUCUUGGCGAGCCGGCAUGCCCUUUACUGGGUGUGUUGGGGAACCAGGACGUUUACCUUGAGAAAAUUAGAGUGUUCAAAGCAGGCCUACGCCCGAAUACAUUAGCAUGGCAUAAUAAAAUAGGACGUGCGGUUCUAUUUUGUUGGUUUCUAGAGCCGCAGUAAUGAUUAAUAGGGAUAGUUGGG
rnacentral:rRNA from 1 species